rnacentral:rRNA from 1 species
GUCCACGCCGUAAACGAUGGGCACUAGGUGUGGGGGGUGUCGACUCCCUCCGUGCCGAAGCUAACGCAUUAAGUGCCCCGCCUGGGGAGUACGGCCGCAAGGCUAAAACUCAAAGGAAUUGACGGGGACCCGCACAAGCAGCGGAGCAUGUGGUUCAAUUCGACGCAACGCGAAGAACCUUACCUGGGCUUGACAUGUGGAUGACCGCCGUGGAAACACGGCUUCCCUUCGGGGCAUCUUCACAGGUGGUGCAUGGCUGUCGU